GAAAAUCAUUUGCAUUAUGACCAAAAAAAUGCACUUUACACAGGAAUUGCAUUAUUCCUUCAUCUUUUGGAGAUAAUUUUCUUGAGCAUCAUUACCUUAGUAACCUAACACUAAACCCCCAAGCUCAGAUCCCGACUCUUCCUGGUUUGAUCACAAAUUUAUCCACAAGUUUCUGUCCAGAAACUUUCAUGUAGCGACCAGACCUCAAACAGUCCGAUCUCUGUGCUCAGUUGUCAUCCCUGGAUCAGUAAUGCUGACACCACACAGUACUCGGAGGAUUUAUAACAGAGUAGCAAUCACACACUUAUUACAUCGAGUGUCACAAUAGAGAACUUAUUACAAUAAAUAUGGCUUAAGGCCAUCUAAUAACUAUAACAUCGGAAGGCUUGGAAGAUAAGUGAGUCCAUCAACUCCAACGGCAUCACUGAGUAUAGAACCACGACCUAAAACUCCUUAAUCGCCGUAUGAAAAGUCUGCAACAUUAACGUUGCAGCACAAAACGGGUCAGCACAUGGAAUAUGCUGGCAAAGUAACACAUAGAGAGUAAUGGAAUGAAACAGAUAUACUAUAUGCAUAUUUGGCUGGUGGAAAGCUCUAUGGUUACUGUUUUGCGAAAAGCCAAUUUUUCCCUACUACAAAGGAAUAAAUUUUAUUUGACUAUCAUGGUAGUUUUAAACAUUGAGAAUGGUUGACAACAUUCUCAAUCCCAAUUAAGCAUCAUCAUUAAACAAAACCCAACAAAAUUAAAUCUUAGUGAGUAACAUGUUGAGAUUCACAUGAUAAUCCAAGUACUAGAUACUCAAGCUGUCCAUAACCGGGGACACGGCUAACCAUGAUUAGUUUAUACACUCUGCAGAGGUUUGUGCACUUUUCCCCACAAGAUUCGAUCGCCUCCGUUUGGUUUCUUGCACUAUGUGGUGUUUGAGAAACGGAUGAGCGAGACAUAGUCUUUCAGAAGCGCUAGCACCUUGCGAUGGAUAGACCAUUACACCAACUUUCCCCUACAUCUGCUAGUCUACCCUGUAAGCGUUCGCACGACUUAAUCAACUAUGCUGGAGCCCAUAAUAGCUUGUGGCUGCACACGGAAGUUUCUAGUAUGAAAAAUCUCAUGAUCCCUUUGGGCCUGGGUGGCGGUCCAUAAAGAAAAACAGGCAAUCCUGGAAUACCCAGGUACCUUAAUCCACCCAGAUGUGUGUUUAAGUUGCCACCUUAGACAAACCAUUAAUUAACAAACUCACAUCUGUCAUGGAUAUCACUCACCCAAUCCACGUCUACUAGCAUAGCAUGGCAUAAUAGGCAAACGUAGAAGUAACUCCCAAAGGUUUGAUAAUACAACAGGUAAUAGGUACUACCUCAACUACUUCCCAUCCCACAAUUUAAUUAGAUCCUAAUCAUGUAAUGUUUGAGGAUUGAUCUAAUGUAAUAAAACUGGGUAGUAGGAGGUAUAAUCCAAGUGUUACUUGCCUUGCCGAUGAUCCGCGAAAC
rnacentral:lncRNA from 1 species